rnacentral:sRNA from 1 species
CAAGAAAAAACCUAAGAACUAAUCUAAGAAACAACCAAUAAUGAUGCUCUAAUGUUUCAAUCCAAGUUGGCUAAGUUGGAGUUUCCUCGGUUCUCCAGCGGAGAUCCAGCGGCUUGGUUAAGUAAAGUCCUACAAUUUUUCUCUUACCAAGACUCCAAGAGUCGCCUGAGGAUCACCGGAUACAGAUCGCAUACUAUUAGACUGUGGGCUUCCAACCUAAAACCAAUUGGCAAUAGGUGGAGAGGCCUAUAUCUUAUAUAUAUCACUUAAGAUCGUACUCAACUUCCGAUGUGGGACAUUGUCCCUAAUACGCCCCCUCGAGAUGAUGGCUCUUCUAGCCAUUGAUCUCGAUAUGUUUGGGCAUGGAUUGGCGGGCCAAGUAUUGGGCCGGACCGAUGUGGAUCGGGUUGAGUAUGUGCGAAUCGGGCUCUGAUACCAUAUUAGACUGUGGGCUUCCAACCUAAAACCAAUUGGCAAUAGGUGGAGAGGCCCAUAUCUUAUAUAUAUCACUUAAGAUCCUACUCAACUUCCGAUGUGGGACAUUGUCCCUAAUACAUACCACUUGAAGGAAGAUGCUAUUGAAUGGUGACAAUCCAUUUAGCAAGACGUACGUCGUCGUUAAAGGUGACGUUGUUUCACGUGGGCCAUGUUCGAAAAAUAGAUGUGGGCUCAGUUUGGACCAAAGAAUUGUAAGGACUUGAUGAGGCCGUUACUAAGAUUUAACAGACGGGUACCUUAUGAGAGUAGACCCAAGAGACUUUGAAAAGUUACAUAACAAAGUGGUCUUAAAAUCUGAUUUGAUUGGGGCAUAGCAUACGUCGGAGGGUUGCAACCCAAGAUCGUUGAAGAUAUUGCCUGUUAGCAAUCAUUGAUAU